AGCAACCUUAGCUUCGACUGUCACACCUUCAAGCCCAUAUACCCCUGUCUUUCCCCAUUCAGUAUCAUUCUUAUUUGUCCUUUCGGCCUGAACACAUCUAAAUUUGUCGUGUAGUCUCAGAUUAUUUCUUUGUUCGGUUCAAUAACUUUUACGGAUUAAUCAUGUGCUGCGGACCCUGUGGACCUUGCUGUGGACCCUGCUGUGGGCCGUGCGGACCGUGCUGUGGACCCUGCGGAGGAGGAUGUGGACCCUGCUUUGGGCCCAAUGUCUGCGGGCCAUGCUACGCCUGUGGGCCCUGUGGCGGCUGCUACUGUGGGUAUCCCUGCUGCUAGGCCAGAUACGUGGGGAUCCCCUAGAAGGGCUGAGCACCCUUCUGGCUCCAUCUUGAAAUCGGUCAAUACUACAUCAAAAACUCGCCCAAUAUUCGUGAGCCGCAAAGAUGUAAUUUGGGACUAAAUAAAUGAAGUAAUCACUUCUUAA